AGACCCGAAACCCGGUGAUCUAGCCAUGGGCAGGUUGAAGGUUGGGUAACACUAACUGGAGGACCGAACCGACUAAUGUUGAAAAAUUAGCGGAUGACCUGUGGCUGGGGGUGAAAGGCCAAUCAAACCGGGAGAUAGCUGGUUCUCCCCGAAAGCUAUUUAGGUAGCGCCUCGUGAAUUCAUCUCCGGGGGUAGAGCACUGUUUCGGCUAGGGGGCCAUCCCGGCUUACCAACCCGAUGCAAACUGCGAAUACCGGAGAAUGUUAUCACGGGAGACACACGGCGGGUGCUAACGUCCGUCGUGAAGAGGGAAACAACCCAGACCGCCAGCUAAGGUCCCAAAGUCAUGGUUAAGUGGGAAACGAUGUGGGAAGGCCCAGACAGCCAGGAUGUUGGCUUAGAAGCAGCCAUCAUUUAAAGAAAGCGUAAUAGCUCACUGGUCGAGUCGGCCUGCGCGGAAGAUGUAACGGGGCUAAACCAUGCACCGAAGCUGCGGCAGCGACGCUGAUGCGUUGUUGGGUAGGGGAGCGUUCUGUAAGCCUGCGAAGGUGGCCUGUGAGGGUUGCUGGAG
rnacentral:rRNA from 1 species